rnacentral:rRNA from 1 species
GACAGAGGGUGCAAACGUUGUUCGGAAUUACUGGGCGUAAAGCGUGCGCAGGCGGUGAUGUAAGACAGGUGUGAAAUCCCCGGGCUUAACCUGGGAACUGCAUUUGUGACUGCAUCGCUGGAGUGCGGGCAGAGGGGGAUGGAAUUCCGCGUGUAGCAGUGAAAUGCGUAGAUAUGCGGAGGAACACCGAUGGCGAAGGCAAUCCCCUGGGCCUGCACUGACGCUCAUGCACGAAAGCGUGGGGAGCAAACAGG